GAAAGUAAGCAAGGGCAGACGGUGGAUGCCUUGGCUCUCGGAGGCGAUGAAGGACGUGAUAAGCUGCGAUAAGCUUGGGGUAGGUGCAAAUAACCUUUGAUCCCAAGAUUUCCGAAUGGGGCAACCCGGCUGGUAGAAGGCCAGUCAUUCCGUAAGGAAGGCGAACGUGGGGAACUGAAACAUCUAAGUACCCAUAGGAGAAGAAAACAAAAGUGAUUCCGCAAGUAGUGGCGAGCGAACGCGGAACAGCCCAAACCGAUGAUGUUUAGGCAUUGUCGGGGUAGUAGGACCACGUUGUGGCAAGAGAUUAAGGAAGUAGAACGUUUUGGAACAAACGGCCGUAGACGGUGAAAGCCCAGUAUACGACUCUUUAACGAAGCCUAGUGGAAUCCUGAGUAGCGCGGAGCACGAGAAAUUCUGUGUGAAUCAGCGGGGCCCAUCCCGUAAGGCUAAAUACUCCCGAGAGACCGAUAGCGAACCAGUACUGUGAAGGAAAGGUGAAAAGCACCUCGAACAGAGGAGUGAAAUAGUCCCUGAAACCGUCUGCCUACAAGCGGUCGGAGCAACGUAAGUUGUGACGGCGUGCCUUUUGCAUAAUGAACCUACGAGUUACUUUCUCCGGCAAGGUUAAGGGCUUCAGGCCCGGAGCCGAAGCGAAAGCGAGUCUUAAUAGGGCGUGAUAGUCGGAGUGAGUAGACGCGAAACCAAGUGAUCUACCCUUGGUCAGGAUGAAGGUUGGGUAACACCAACUGGAGGUCCGAAUGGGUAUACGUUGAAAAGUGUUCCAAUGAACUGAGGGUAGGGGUGAAAGGCUAAUCAAACUUGGAGAUAGCUCGUACUCCCCGAAAUGCAUUUAGGUGCAGCCUUUAUUUAGUAUAGCAUGAGGUAGAGCGACUGAUUGGAUGCGAGGGCUUCACCGCCUAUCAAGUCCAGAUAAACUCCGAAUGCGUGCUAUAUAUUGAUAAGGAGUGAGGGCGCGGGUGCUAAGGUCCGCGUCCGAGAGGAGAAGAAUCCAGACCAUCAGCUAAGGUCCCCAAAUAACAGUUAAGUUGAACUAACGAAGUCGGACUGCAGAGACAGCUAGGAUGUUGGCUUGGAAGCAGCCAUUCAUUUAAAGAGUGCGUAACAGCUCACUAGUCGAGGAGUCCGGCGUGGAUAAUACUCGGGCAUAAACUGUUUACCGAAGCUAUGGAUGUAGAAAUACAUGGUAGGGGAGCAUUCCAACGGCGUCGAAGGUGAAGGAUGACCUUUGCUGGAGCUUUUGGAAACGCAAAUGUAGGUAUAAGUAACGAUAAAGGAGGUGAGAAACCUCCUCGCCGAAAGACUAAGGUUUCCUGAUCAACGUUAAUCGGAUCAGGGUAAGUCGGGACCUAAGGUUAAGCCGAACGGCGAUACCGAUGGAAGAAUGGUUUAAUAUUCCCAUACUACUUUAUGGAGCGAUGUGGAGACGGAGAAGUGAAAGUCCUGCCAUCUGACGGAAUAGGUGGUUGAAGAGUGUAGAUGUAGAUUCCUGUAGGCAAAUCCGCAGGGAGAGUCGACCUUGAUAGUAUGCCGCGUGCUUGCACAAGGCAAAAUGGACGUAAUCAGGCUCCCAAGAAAAUCCGCUAAGCAUAUUCAUAAAGUACCCGUACCGUAAACGGACACACGUAGUUGGGUUGAAAAUACUGAGGCGCUCGAGUGAUUCACGGUUAAGGAACUAGGCAAAUUGACCCUGUAACUUCGGGAUAAAGGGUCCCUACUGAGAGGUAGGGCGCAGAGAAUAGGUCCAGGCAACUGUUUAACAAAAACACAUGGCUGUGCGAAAUAGAAAUAUGAAGUAUACAGCCUGACACCUGCCCGGUGCUGGAAGGUUAAGAGGAGAGCUCAUCGCAAGAGAAGGCUUGAAUUGAAGCCCCAGUAAACGGCGGCCGUAACUAUAACGGUCCUAAGGUAGCGAAAUUCCUUGUCGGGUAAGUUCCGACCUGCACGAAUGGUGUAAUGAUCUGGACACUGUCUCAA
rnacentral:rRNA from 1 species